GAUGAACGCUGGCGGCGUGCCUAAUACAUGCAAGUCGAGCGAACGGACGAGAAGCUUGCUUCUCUGAUGUUAGCGGCGGACGGGUGAGUAACACGUGGAUAACCUACCUAUAAGACUGGGAUAACUUCGGGAAACCGGAGCUAAUACCGGAUAAUAUUUUGAACCGCAUGGUUCAAAAGUGAAAGACGGUCUUGCUGUCACUUAUAGAUGGAUCCGCGCUGCAUUAGCUAGUUGGUAAGGUAACGGCUUACCAAGGCAACGAUGCAUACCCGACCUGAGAGGGUGAUCGGCCACACUGGAACUGAGACACGGUCCAGACUCCUACGGGAGGCAGCAGUAGGGAAUCUUCCGCAAUGGGCGAAAGCCUGACGGAGCAACGCCGCGUGAGUGAUGAAGGUCUUCGAAUCGUAAAACUCUGUUAUUAGGGAAGAACAUAUGUGUAAGUAACUGUGCACAUCUUGACGGUACCUAAUCAGAAAGCCACGGCUAACUACGUG
rnacentral:rRNA from 1 species